UACGUAGGUGGCAAGCGUUGUCCGGAUUUACUGGGCGUAAAGAGCGCGCAGGCGGCCAGGUCAGUCGAAUGUGAAAGCCCCCGGCUCAACUGGGGAGGGUCGUUCGGUACUGCCUGGCUCGAAGGUAGGAGAGGGAAGUGGAAUUUCAGGUGUAGUGGUGAAAUGCGUAGAUAUCUGAAGGAACACCAGUGGCGAAGGCGACUUUCUGGCCUAUUCUUGACGCUGAGGCGCGAAAGCUAGGGGAGCGAACAGU
rnacentral:rRNA from 1 species